AAACCGUGGUGAGGACAUUGGGUCAAAUAUCCUUUGAAACGCUCCCAUGCUUCAUAGAAAGUCUCAGCAGGUUUUUGUGUGAAGCCUAAAAUCUCAUUCCUGUU